GAGAGCCCGGUGCGGUGAGAGUCGCACGCCGGGUUCGGUGAGCGGCACGGAGAAACGGACCGGUGGCAACACCAGCACCGCGCUCCGUGCCGACUCGAC
rnacentral:ncRNA from 1 species